GCCCGCAUAGCUCAGUGGUAGAGCAUUGUACUUAUGAGGAUAAUUAAUCCAUGCAACAUGCAAGGGUCUCCAGUUCGAUCCUGGGUGGGGGCA